GAUCAAGCGUCUGAAGGGCAUCUGGUGGAUGCCUUGGCACUGAGAGGCGAUGAAGGACGUAGCACGUUGCGAUAAGCUUCGGGGAGCCGCGAGCAGGCUUUGAUCCGAGGAUUUCCGAAUGGGGAAACCCACCGCUUCGGCGGUAUCCUCACCUGAAUACAUAGGGUGGGGAAGCGAACCCGGCGAACUGAAACAUCUAAGUAGCCGGAGGAAAGGACAUCAACCGAGACUCCGCUAGUAGUGGCGAGCGAACGCGGACCAGG
rnacentral:rRNA from 1 species